rnacentral:rRNA from 1 species
UACAGAGGGUGCGAGCGUUGUCCGGAAUCACUGGGCGUAAAGGGCGCGUAGGUGGCCCGACAAGUCAAUGGUGAAAGUUCGACGCUUAACGUCGAAUCGGCCACUGAUACUGUUGGGCUGGAGCACUGUAGAGGCUCAUGGAAUUCCGGGUGUAGCGGUGGAAUGCGUAGAGAUCCGGAAGAACACCGGUGGCGAAGGCGGUUCUCUGGGCCUUACCUGACGCUGAGGAGCGAAAGCGUGGGGAGCGAACAGG